rnacentral:rRNA from 1 species
AAGUCCCGCAACGAGCGCAACCCUACGCUGAGUACCAGCACGUGAAGGUGGGGACUCUCAGUGGACUGCCGGCGACAAGCCGGAGGAAGGUGGGGACGACGUCAAGUCAUCAUGGCCCUCAUGUCCAGGGCGACACACGUGCUACAAUGGCCGGCACAACGGGAAGCGAAGUCGCGAGGCAGAGCGGAUCCCUUAAAGCCGGUCCCAGUUCGGAUUGCAGUCUGCAACUCGACUGCAUGAAGCCGGAAUCGCUAGUAAUCGCGGAUCAGCCAAGCCGCGGUGAAUACGUUCCCGGGCCUU